AGUUUGCUGUUUCCCGACAUUUAACGUUGAAGUUAAAUUUCACUGAUUUCAGUGGAAUGUAGAAUUAAAGAUUCCAAAGAUCAUCGUAGGUGGAGAGGGCCUCACAGACCAUCUGUUCUAACUCUCCUUGAUGCAGAAACUCCAGAGCGAAAAGUAUUACCAUUAGAUGACUUCCCAGCCUGUUCAGGAAGACCUCCUGUGAGACACAGCCCACCUUCUAGGAUCAUCUUUGUCAAUGGCUCUCAUGGUGUGAAUGACCUAAAACGGGAAACAAAGAAACAAACAAAAUGUUUAUCUAAAUCUGUGACACUGCACAGGUUUGAGCAAACUGUGUGAAAAAGAAGAAAAGAAAUGCCAGAAGCUGGAAUUCCAUGUCUCUCUUCCUUUUUUAGAGAUGCACAAGCUUUCCAAAAUUCACCUUGGAUUAAUCUGGAUGUUAAUCUGGAAAUUAUCAGACAACUUCCUGAAAGAUUUUGGGAGAGUGUUGCGUGCAUCUCCAAUAGAUAUAUCUGAGAUUCCUCUUUUCUGAAAUUCUUUCUCUUCGGACAUCCAAGCAUCUAUGACAGUGGUGGCUUGUGCUCAUUGGGACUUGUAGGGUGGAGGCAGGGAGGCCAGCAACAGGCUGAGCCAGAGCCAAUGAAAGGCACAGCCAACUAAUUCUAGUUGUGUCUCCAUCCUCCUCUUUGCUGAGUUCUACCAGGGGCAACACAAGGGAGGAAGCUGCAGACAAUGCUGACCCUGGACUGGAUGCAAGUAAGAAGGCAAGGAGGUGAAGACUGCCUAUGGACACUGAAGCUGGUGGGAGAGUGACCCAUUUGCCCUAACAGAGCAGCCUCCACUGGUCUAUGGUGCUGUCUUAGAUGGUUGCUUAAAACUUCCACAUUCAUGCAGGCUUUCCCUGUGGCCGGUGUGACCCAGCUAUUGUCCUUACUAUAAAAGAUGCUUUACUAUUUUUCUGUAUUAUAUUUCUCAUAUGCUUUCAAGACUUAACAUGAUUCUCACAGAGAUACAAUAAGGUUUAAGAAACUCCUCCACCACUCUCUUUUCAAUUCCAACUGACAGUUAACGUUCUGUGGCUACUGAGCAUGCUCAGUCCACAGUGCACGGGGGGAGGGCAGCAGGAAGGGGUUGGUCUCUUAUGUCCCCCCCCAGGAUUGUUUGUGUUUGUGCAAACUUUUUUUUUUAGCUUAGUUUUGGUUUUUCUACGCCAAGCAUGCUAAUAUCUCUUCUAUUCUCAUUGGCCUAAUUCGGGCUACAGUCCUGUUGGUACUCACCCCUAUUAGGCGAGAUGUGUGUCUAGGACAAUUGUUUAUGCACUGGUGACGGGGGUCUCUCCUCCUCCACAGAAGCUAAGGCCACAAUAACUGCAUAAUUGGUUAGUCUUUGGUAGCACACAACUCUUCAUUGUGCCGUUCCAACUUUCUGUAGGGGUGUCUUUGCCUCCACCCCCCCAAUUGUUAAGACAUAGGUGGUUUGUUCCAAUGGUUGUGUGAGGUGGCGUGACUUCUGAUCCAUUGGGGAAGGAGUGAUGAGCAAGGCAUUUAAGCUUGCUCCGCCCUCCAAUCUCGCUUUUCGUUUGCUUGUGGCGCCCACCCUCCUGCCCUUUCAGUAUGAGUUCAGCUAGUCACUGUUUAGGGGCUGAGUAGUAUUUUUGGGGGGGAGGUGUAUGUAGCCUCCCCUUUGGUUUGCCUUCUCCAUAUUGUGGGGUUCAUUCAAUUGGCUUCUUGAGUGGUGGGCCUGCUGCGAGUUGGCAUGGAGUUAGGACAGGUGAGGAAUUUGGAGGGUUAGUAUGGGGUAUGCUGAGGUAGUUAUGAGAUUGGGGUGUCCUUUGAGGAACUCCCAGUGUUUUAGGCCUGGGGUGCAGCUGGGGGGUUCCUCUGAGGGCCUAUCUUGUUCAUUCUGGUGAAAGCCGGUAUGGCAGGGCCUGGAUGUGCAGGGUGGGUGACCACCCAGGGCUUGUCUAGCAAGGAGGGAUGCAUUUAUCAACAUCCUUGGUGCCUAUGGCUGUUGACAUGCCCAGGGGCCUGGGGGGGAUGUUCCCCCACCAGAGGUAGUUUUGUUCUCACCUGUCCAAGCAGGUUUUAUUCAGUUAAUUUGGUUGAUUUGGUCUGCAGGUUCUCGAGAAUGUAUUGUUAUAUUUUAAUAAAUAUAACA